rnacentral:rRNA from 1 species
GACCAGCGGAGGGAUCAUUACCGAGUUUACAACUCCCAAACCCCAAUGUGAACGUUACCAAUCUGUUGCCUCGGCGGGAUUCUCUGCCCCGGGCGCGUCGCAGCCCCGGAUCCCAUGGCGCCCGCCGGAGGACCAACUCAAACUCUUUUUUCUCUCCGUCGCGGCUUCCGUCGCGGCUCUGUUUUACCUUUGCUCUGAGCCUUUCUCGGCGACCCUAGCGGGCGUCUCGAAAAUGAAUCAAAACUUUCAACAACGGAUCUCUUGGUUCUGGCAUCGAUGAAGAACGCAGCGAAAUGCGAUAAGUAAUGUGAAUUGCAGAAUUCAGUGAAUCAUCGAAUCUUUGAACGCACAUUGCGCCCGCCAGUAUUCUGGCGGGCAUGCCUGUCCGAGCGUCAUUUCAACCCUCGAACCCCUCCGGGGGGUCGGCGUUGGGGAUCGGCCCCUCACCGGGCCGCCCCCGAAAUACAGUGGCGGUCUCGCCGCAGCCUCUCCUGCGCAGUAGUUUGCACACUCGCACCGGGAGCGCGGCGCGGCCACAGCCGUAAAACACCCCAAACUCUGAAAUGUUGACCUCGGAUCAGGUAGGAAUACCCGCUGAACUUAAGCAUAUCAAUAAG